GACAGAGGGUGCGAACGUUGCUCGGAAUCACUGGGCGUAAAGGGCGUGUAGGCGGGAAGGAAAGUCAGAUGUGAAAUCCCCAGGCUCAACCUGGGAACUGCAUUUGAAACUCCCUUUCUUGAGUACCGGAGAGGAAAGUGGAAUUCCUGGUGUAGAGGUGAAAUUCGUAGAUAUCAGGAGGAACACCAGUGGCGAAGGCGGCUUUCUGGACGGUAACUGACGCUGAGACGCGAAAGCGUGGGGAGCAAACAGG
rnacentral:rRNA from 1 species